rfam:Nadsonia fulvescens var. elongata DSM 6958 unplaced genomic scaffold NADFTscaffold_1, whole genome shotgun sequence.
GCCUAGCUAGCUCAAUCGGUAGAGCGUGUGACUCUUAGAAUUUGUUAAGAAGAAUCAAAGUUAUCACAAGGUUGGGGGUUCGACCCCCCCGUUGGGCU